AACGAACGCUGGCGGCAGGCCUAACACAUGCAAGUCGAGCGAGGUAGCAAUACCUAGCGGCGGACGGGUGAGUAACGCGUGGGAAAGUGCCCUUUGCGUCGGAAUAGCCCCGGGAAACUGUGAGUACUACCGAAUGUGCACCACGGGGGUAAGAUUUAUCGGCAAAGGAUCGGCCCGCGUUGGAUCAGGUAGUUGGUGGGGUAAUAGCGUACCAAGCCGACGAUCCAUAGCUGGUUUGAGAGGAGGAUCAGCCACACUGGGACUGAGACACGGCCCAGACUCCUACGGGAGGCAGCAGUGGGGAAUCUUAGACAAUGGGCGCAAGCCUGAUCUAGCCAUGCCGCGUGAGCGAUGAAGGCCUUAUGGUUGUAAAGCUCUUUCGUGGGGGAAGAUAAUGACGGUACCCCAAGAAGAAGCCCCGGCUAACUCCGUGCCAGCAGCCGCCGUAAUAC
rnacentral:rRNA from 1 species